AUGGAGCCAGCUGGGAGCCCAGCCUUGUGCUAGGGAUGGCCAUGGAGGGACUGCGGCUCCGUGUCUCUGUGUGGCCAUCACACCCUGAUGUCCGUGUUCUGUUCCCUUCCCACAGCGUGCUGGGAAAAGGCUCCCGGCCCUGCCAAGAGGAGGGCAACGCCGGGUCUCCUUCCUCGGGCCGUGGUGCCAUCUCCCAGCUUCUGCUUCUCCACAGGCCGCCAAGAGAGCCAUUGUACAAAUAGCCAAUCUCCUGCGCUGGAACGACCUCCGGGAGCUGGCUGAGAAACAGGAGACGUGGAGGAUCGCGCAGUGUUUGCUGCAGCGGGACCAGAGCAGGGCAGAGGAAUACCUGCAGCAGAGCCAGGCCUACCUGCAGGACCCUCAGGCGGCCUUGCGACAGGAGGCCGUGAGGUUCAUUGGUCUUGCUGCACGCUACUCAAGGGACCUGAGCGAGGAGAAGCUACAGGACAUCAUCACGGGUAAGCGAGGGCUGUGGUGUGUGUACUGAA